rnacentral:rRNA from 1 species
GGAAGGUAGGGAGGUGACGUCAAAUCAUCAUGCCCCUUAUGUCUUGGGCUUCACGCAUGCUACAAUGGCCGGUACAAAGGGCUGCGAUACCGCGAGGUGGAGCGAAUCCCAGAAAGCCGGUCUCAGUUCGGAUUGGGGUCUGCAACUCGACCCCAUGAAGUCGGAGUCGCUAGUAAUCGCAGAUCAGCAACGCUGCGGUGAAUACGUUCCCGGGCCUU